AUUCCAGCUCCAAUAGCGUAUAUUAAAGUUGUUGCAGUUAAAAAGCUCGUAGUUGGAUUUCUGGGAGGGUGCCAAUGUCCGUCGUCGUACGUGUUGCAGCGGCGCCCUUCCAUCCUUCUGUUAACGACUUUGGGCAUUCACUUGCCGGAGUCGGGCUCAGAUAUUUUACCUUGAGAAAAUUAGAGUGUUUCAGGCAGGCUAGGCCGGAAUACAUUAGCAUGGAAUAAUGGAAUAGGACUACGGUCUCUUUGUUGGUUUGAGGGACUGCAGUAAUGAUUAAUAGGGAUAGUUGGGGGCAUUAGUAUUUAAUUGUCAGAGGUGGAAUUCUCGGAUUUGUUAAAGACUAACUUAUGCGAAAGCAUUUGCCAAGGAUGUUUUCAUCA
rnacentral:rRNA from 1 species